rnacentral:tmRNA from 1 species
GGGGAUGUAAAGGUUUCGACGGGGACGGAGAAGCUUGGUAAGCGAGUAGCGGUGAGGCGCCGCUUUAAAAGCCUCAACUUAAAAACAAACGACAACACUAAAAACGUUGCUUUAGCUGCUUAAUGCAGCUCGUCUGCCCGGGAGUACCGCGGCCCGGGACAAGGCGUCGACAGCGGUUUCUGUGAACAGCCCACGCCUUUAAGCUGUCACACAUCAAAGGCUACCGAAGCGCAUAGCCUGUUAUUGGGCGCUGCGUCGGGGGAAUCCUAAACCAAUAACUGCACUCGGAGAAAACCUUGUGGAACUGUUUUCGGACGUGGGUUCGAUUCCCACCAUCUCCACCA